rnacentral:lncRNA from 1 species
AGAUCUAAUUAUAAGUAUCACAAAGCUUAUAUAAAAUUAACAAAAGAAAAUUACAAUAAUAAGUUACAUGACCGAUAUGGAAAAUUUGAAUAAUUAAAUUCACCAUAUGGAUGAAAAUGACAAACAUCUAUUUUGCCAUACAAGAAAAACUCUACUUCUAGGCGAGACAAAAUUCCACAACUACAAUUUAGUUUGUUUCUAUAUUACAUACUUUUUUUAAUGUACAUGCUUUAAAUAUGUAAAUAAUGUUUAAAUGCAUAUAUUAAAAUUUCCAUAAUUACAUAUAUAUGAAAAUGAUUAAGCACUAUAAAAAGAGGAUAUAAUAAAAAGACCAACAUGCUUGUUAAAUUAGUUCCCAUUGCACGUUCCCAUGGUAACAAUAUAUACAGGUAUAUAUACAGAUGAUAGAUGUUUGUACAAUGAAUUAUAAUGCAUGAUAUGGUGCUGACCUGCAACUCCAAAAGCAAAACAUGACUUAAUCUUUUAAAACAUUACAUAAUUCCUGUUCCAUGAUAGGAGGUUCAAAAACUGCAUAAGAAUAGACCCAGUACAUUUAUUUAUGAAUCAAACACAGCAUCAUAUUCACUUGGAUCAACCAAUAUGCUCCAGAGUCGAGUUCUUAUACAAAGAUUCUAUGGUUAUUUAGUAAAUAAACCUAACGCCAGAAUUCCAAUCAAAUAACAAAGAUUUUUUUUUUACCAUAAAACAUUUAUAUUAAUAGAGAUCUACUGUAUUAAUACUAUAUUUCUGUAGUCACUUAGAAUAUGUUUUUUUCCUCAAUUAAACAAGAAACAAUGACAGAUUUUAGCCUUAAUGGAAGCACAAUUUGAGAGCUAUAUCUGGAAAUAUAAAAGCUUAAAGAGACUUAAAAUGAUAUAACCACUGCAUGUUGACAUCAGAAAAUUGAGAAUUAAAUGAGAGUUUCAACAGUUACUUUGUAUUUACUGGACACUAUGAUGAGUUGGACACGUUACAUUAUGUCGAAUUGGUAUCUAGUGCAACUACCCCAUUACGACAUGAAUAAUACAAAAUUGUGAUCCAUUAUACUUGUGACCACUCAAAGCUGGGUGACUGAAUAAGGCUUGCAAAAGAAAUAUUUAAAUUCAAUAUGCAAUAGGUGUGGAGUCUAUUUAUGGCACCAUCAACCACAGUUAAAACAUGCAAAUACUGAUAAUUCCAGCACCUUAGGACAUUUAUGGCCUUUAUAAAAUGGAGAUCAUUUGUACAUUUAGCUUGAAAAUAAUGUCAUUGACUAAUAAAGCACUGAACUUGAAUGCUGAUACUUCAGAAAAAUACUGAAUGACUUUAAUGAUGACUUAUAGAUCUUUGAAAAUAAAAUCUUUUUUUUCUUCAAAUAUAUUGAUUUGUAUAAAAAAUUUUUUUUUUACAGAAAUAAAAUAUUAGAUUGAAAAUAAUAUUUUCAAGCUGAUGCAGAUACUAAUAAAUAACCCAAGGCUGGGAAUUGGUUGACAUUUCCAUCACAAAUGCAUCAAGUAGACUGAGAUAUAUAAUUACCUUAAUAUUAAACUGACUGAAAACAUGAAAAAAACAAAACAAAUAAGAUUACUGAGGCAUUGUAGGUUACAUGAAGAUAAUGGCAUGUGGUAACACCUUAUACGUGUUUGUUACGUUAUAUUUCAAUGGACUGAUUUCCUGUCAAUGUGGAUCAAUAACCAUACAACAUACCGUAAUAAGAUGUCAAUAGAAACAGUGGAAAUUAGUCCACAAUUCCGUCAAACUUAUAUUGUUGUGUAAAAUUGUAUUUAGGUCAGUUAAUAUGUUCCACGCAAAGAUUUACAUGUUAUUUCCAUAUUUUAUUAUUCUUUUUAAUGCAUGAUGAUUUUAUUACCAUAAAUAUCUAUUGAUUUUUUACAUUUCUAUAAAAAUUCUUUGUUCUUUCAAAAUUGCUUAGCUUAGUUAUUUUUCUUGUAUGUAUGGAAACAACUGGUAAUAAAUUUACAGCUUUUCUAUGGCAAUGCACUUGGUACUAGGUCUUUUCUUGACGUAAAACUGAGUUGCUUUUUACUUUGUCUACAGUCAAACUGAAAGAUUACAAUGUUCUCCUGAUUUGAAUAGCUUUUCUUUCCAUCAAAGCCCUUUUACAUGACAGAUCAUGGCUGUUGUUUAUGGAUUAGAGUGAGUGAACACGGCAGUGAAAAAGGAAAAUAAUCUUUGUUACUUUUCUUGUAUGUACGGAAAUAACUGACAAUAAAUCUUCAGCUUUUGUAGGGAAAUGCACUUGGUAUGUUUUUCAAAGUAAAAGAAAAUAUUACAAUUAUACUCCUGAUUUAAAUAGCUUGUCUUUCCAUCAAAGCCCCUUUAACAUGACAUGCCAUGGCUGUUGUUACUUGAUUAAAGUGAGCAAACAGGACAGUGAAAAAGAAAACAAUCUUUGUGCUGAAACAUUAAGGUGUCAUUCCCAGACAAAGUUUUUAAUACUGAACAAAAGUCAAAUUUUAAUACUGUUGAUAGCCAAUACAUUUAACUACUUCUGCUAGCUAGAAUUCAUGAUACGAUUUUAAAAAAAUGUUUCUAAAUGAAUAUAAUACACAAAAGUGAAAAGCAAUGGUUUCUGAUAUACACCAUAUUAGAUGUUGAUAGAAACAUGUAUAUGGUAACUUAUAUAUGUAGCUUGAUAUCCUAUUCAUGGGUAAACAAAAUAUAUGAUUAACUUAGGUUCUUGAGUAUUAUAUUGUUAAUUCCCACAUUAUCCAACAUAAAUGCUGUUAUUUCAUAUAAAUAUUCUAUUCAAUUAUCUGAAUAAAUACUUCAUAAUAUUUUUCAGCAAAAGCAUAUAAGUAUGUUAUCUUAGAAACUUUGGAACAAAACUUUGUUAUGGAUAAAAAUAAAACAGAAUUUCUUUUCUUUUUCCUAGAUUAUAUGUUUCUCCAUUUCCUAAUUUAAACUGUUAUGCAUUCUUGAAAUAAUUAAAAUUAUUCUUAUAUUAGAAAAGUAGACUUUGUCUAAUAAU